AUUGAACGCUGGCGGCAGGCCUAACACAUGCAAGUCGAGCGGAUGAAGGGAGCUUGCUCCUGGAUUCAGCGGCGGACGGGUGAGUAAUGCCUAGGAAUCUGCCUUGUAUUUGGGGAUAACGUCCGUAAACGGGCGCUAAUACCGCAUCCGUCCUGAUGGAGAAAGUGGGGGAUCUUCGGACCUCACGCUAUCAGAUGAGCCUAGGUCGGAUUAGCUAGUUGGUGGGGUAAAGGCCUACCAAGGCGACGAUCCGUAACUGGUCUGAGAGGAUGAUCAGUCACACUGGAACUGAGACACGGUCCAGACUCCUACGGGAGGCAGCAGUGGGGAAUAUUGGACAAUGGGCGAAAGCCUGAUCCAGCCAUGCCGCGUGUGUGAAGAAGGUCUUCGGAUUGUAAAGCACUUUAAGUUGGGAGGAAGGGAAGUAAGUUAAUACAUUGCUGUUUUGACGGUACCAACAGAAUAAGCACCGGCUAACUUCGUG
rnacentral:rRNA from 1 species